rnacentral:rRNA from 1 species
GAGGCAGCAGUGUGCAAUUUUCCGCAAUGGGCGAAAUCCUGACGCAGCGACACCCCGUGGGGAAUAACGUUUUUUGGGUGGUAAACCCUUUUUGCCCGGAACGACCUUUUUUUUUGGAGGAGUUUGACGGUACCGGGGGAGGAAGCACCGGCUAAUUUUGUGCCAGCAGCCGCGGUAAUACAUAGGGUGCGAGCGUUGUCCGGAUUCAUUGGGCGUAAAGGGCGCGUAGGUGGCGCGGUAAGUUCGCGGUGAAAGCUCGGGGCUCAACUUCGAGUCGUCCUGGGAGACUGCCUCGCUCGAGCACAGUAGAGGCAGGUGGAAUUCCGGGUGUAGCGGUGGAAUGCGUAGA